rnacentral:rRNA from 2 species
UACGGAGGUUCCAAGCGUUGUUCGGAAUUACUGGGCGUAAAGGGAGCGCAGGCGGACAGGUCAGUUUAAAGUGGAAUCCCAGGGCUCAACCCUGGACGUGCUUUGGAUACUGCCUGUCUUGAGUUCGUGAGAGGAAAGUGGAAUUCAGGGUGUAGCGGUGAAAUGCUUAGAUAUCCUGAGGAACACCAGUGGCGAAAGCGACUUUCUGGCACGAAACUGACGCUGAGGCUCGAAAGCAUGGGUAGCGAACGGG